UGGAAAUGGAAAGAUUUUAUAUAUUAUAUUGUCUACAAACCAAAAGAGUUUUUUCUGCAAGGCUGAAAAUGAUGUUGGAGAACAACAUUCAAACAUCACUCACAUUGAUGUUCUGUAUUCCCCUAAAAAUAUCACAGUUUCAGUCAGUCCAUCUGGUUCGGUUCUAGAGAACAGCAAUGUGUCUCUGACAUGCAGCAGUGAUGCCAACCCAGCAGAGCAGAACUACACCUGGUAUGAAGUCAAAGCAGCCCAGGAAAUUGUCACCGGGACUGGAAAUACUUUAAACACUACAGUAUCUACAGACAGAGAUAUUUUUUUCUGCAAGGCUCAAAAUGAUGUGGGAGAAGAACGUUCCAACCUCCGUCACAUUGAUGUUCUGUUUCCUUCACGGAUCUUAUUUUCAUCUAAAUGCACGAAAACUUCAAAUCAGGUCAGCUGUUUCUGUGACACAGCAGGAAACCCGUCUCCAACAACAUAAUGGAACUUGCAUGGGAAACCGGUUAUUCAGUCUAGCCAGAUGGUGAUUACACAUGAGUCUCUAAAUAACUCGUAUCUGAGGAGCAUCAUCACUAUUGUUGAACCACAGGACAGAGAUCUGUCCACCUUGCAGUGCUUCAGCUCCAACUCUUUGGGGUCGGCCAGUAAAGGGUUUUGUGUCAGAUGCCUUGACAACUCAAAAGAAAAUGAAAGUCAAAUCCUGACGCCUGUCUUCAUUGGCAUUGCUGUAGCUUUUUUACUUAUAAUAUGCGCCUUGCUGGUUGUUGUCU